rnacentral:rRNA from 1 species
AUUGAACGCUGGCGGCAGGCCUAACACAUGCAAGUCGAGCGGAGCGGCGGCCGGGUGUGUAAUUCCUAGGAAUCUGCCUGGUAGUGGGGGAUAACGUCCGGAAACGGGCGCUAAUACCUCAUCCUAUCAUAUGAUCCUAGGUCGGAUUAGCUAGUUGGUGGGGUAAAGGCCUACCAAGGCGACGAUCCGUAACUGUUCUGAGUGGAUGAUCAGUCGCACUGGAACUGUGACACGGUCCAGACUAAUACGGGAAGGAGCAGUGGGGAAUAUUGGACAAUGGGCGAAAGCCUGAUCCAGCCAUGCCGCGUGUGGGAAGAAGGUCUUCGGAUUGUAAAGCACUUUAAGUUGGAGGUCGUUACCAGCAGAAUAAGCACAGGCUAACUUCGUGCCAGCAGCCGCGGUAAUAC